rnacentral:tRNA from 1 species
GGAGAGGUGCGAGAGUGGUUUAAUCGGGCGGUCUCGAAAACCGUUGUUCCCUUUCGGGAACCGUGGGUUCAAAUCCCACCCUCUCCG